rnacentral:lncRNA from 1 species
GUUGUAGUUAGUGUUUCAUUAAAUAACAAAGUUAUUGCGACUCUCAUCACUUUUUUAUAUAUCCCCAUUAUUUUUACAUGAUACAAUAUAUGUUUGUUCAUAUGUCCUCGUUAAUUCUUUUAUUACUAAAACGAAUUGUAUACGUUUUUUUGAGGUGGAAGCACUAGAAGGUUACUCAUUCUAAAAAUGUUUGAAUCAUCAAACCGUAUUAAUUCAAGCACACAAUCAUCUUCUAUAGAUUCGAAUGUCUUGAUCGAUGGCUCUAUGCUUCAGUCAGUGGCUGAUUUACGUUGAGCUAGGGGUUACCGGGAACCUGUUCGAUCCGUAAUUUAUAGUGUUAACGUAUAUAGAAUAUUCCGAAGGAACCCCUUAAUAUUUUAUAGAGGAACCCUAUAAACAAAUGUGUACAGUGGUUCACUGGUUAAUGUCUGCAUUGCGUAACUUGAUGUCGCAUGUUCAAGUCUUGUUAAACUUGUUUUUUGCCCUUUUUUGCGUUUUUUUUCUUUUUUUUUAAGUGAAAAACAAAUCAGGGACUUAGGGUUUAGUUCUUAUUCGCCUUUUGCCCCUUUCCUUUUUACUCUCAAACCAAAACACACAGACAUCAUCUCCACUCACUCAUCCACCAUUAUUACUACCACUCAUCCACCUUCUCCACUCUAGUCUCUACAGCCACUCGCCGGAGCAGUCACGCAGCCGGCAACCGGUCGCUGCAACCCCUUCUCCACUCUCCAGCCACCAUUAUAAACUUCAAUACCAGAAGGGGUAGAAACUGAAGGUGAACAGCUAAGUGCUGAAACAUUGGAUGAAGUUGCUGAAGCAGUGGUUACUGCAAUUGCUGGUGAACUACUGCUGGGAAAAAAUUCAGAAACCCUGAUUGAACCACUAUCUGACCCUUGGUCCAAAGAAGACAAAGAGAAAGAAAAAGUGAAGAAAGCUGGUGAGGAAGAAGGGAGAGCAUAUGAAGAAGGUGAUCAUCAAUGUGAUUGUGCCAUGAUGGCUGCUGCCAAGGCUCUACGUGCUUAUAUCGUUAGGUACUUGGAGCUUGCACUCGAGAAGCGGGUCGUUGUGGACAAGGAUCGUGACUUUUCUGUUAAACUAUUAUGACACUUAAAACUGUUAACUACUACUGGUUUAUUUACUAUGCUUCCGCUACAUUUUGAAACGAUGAUUUGUUUGAUCACCUUUUGUAUUGAAUGGAUGGUUUUCAUUUAUUUUACUUAAUAUUA